UAAACCAUGCACCGAAGCUGCGGCAGCGACACUAUGUGUUGUUGGGUAGGGGAGCGUUCUGUAAGCCUGCGAAGGUGACCUGUGAGGGUUGCUGGAGGUAUCAGAAGUGCGAAUGCUGACAUAAGUAACGAUAAAGCGGGUGAAAAGCCCGCUCGCCGGAAGACCAAGGGUUCCUGUCCAACGUUAAUCGGGGCAGGGUGAGUCGACCCCUAAGGCGAGGCCGAAAGGCGUAGUCGAUGGGAAACAGGUUAAUAUUCCUGUACUUGGUGUUACUGCGAAGGGGGGACGGAGAAGGCUAUGUUAGCCGGGCGACGGUUGUCCCGGUUUAAGCAUGUAGGCUGGUUGUCCAGGCAAAUCCGGAUAAUCAAGGCUGAGGUGUGAUGACGAGGCACUACGGUGCUGAAGUAACAAAUGCCCUGCUUCCAGGAAAAGCCUCUAAGCAUCAGGUAACAUCAAAUCGUACCCCAAACCGACACAGGUGGUCAGGUAGAGAAUACCAAGGCGCUUGAGAGAACUCGGGUGAAGGAACUA
rnacentral:rRNA from 1 species